UACGUAGGUGGCAAGCGUUGUCCGGAUUUACUGGGCGUAAAGAGCGCGCAGGCGGUCGUUCAAGUCGCGUGUGAAAGCCCCCGGCUCAACUGGGGAGGGUCACGCGAUACUGAUCGACUCGAAGGCAGGAGAGGGAAGUGGAAUUCCCGGUGUAGUGGUGAAAUGCGUAGAUAUCGGGAGGAACACCAGUGGCGAAGGCGGCCUUCUGGGCGGCAACUGACGCUGAGGCGCGAAAGCGUGGGGAGCAAACCGG
rnacentral:rRNA from 1 species